rnacentral:rRNA from 1 species
UACGUAGGGGGCAAGCGUUGUCCGGAAUCAUUGGGCGUAAAGAGCGUGUAGGUGGCUCGGUAAGUCCGUUGUGAAAGUCCAGGGCUCAACCCUGGAAUGCCGGUGGAAACUGUCGAGCUAGAGUCCGGAAGAGGCGAGUGGAAUUCCUGGUGUAGCGGUGAAAUGCGCAGAUAUCAGGAGGAACACCAAUGGCGAAGGCAGCUCGCUGGGACGGUACUGACGCUGAGACGCGAAAGCGUGGGGAGCAAACAGG